CAUAACUUUUUCAGAACAUGUUUUUAUUUAUAAGACCAAACAAUGUUUUGCAAAACUCUUAAUUAACAGAAAAAAAAAGAAAGUAACAGCACCACCAUUAAAGUGCUAUUUUUUGCAAACGUCUCUACAUUGGUUUUCACUUUUUCUGCCUUUUGGCUGUGAAACCAUAUUCCUGAAGCUUGGCUACACCUGACACCCGUUUCAGUGUUUGACUAGCUACAUGUGCAGGAGUUGCUCCCGGAGAGGUGGAGGCUGUAGCAGCAGUUUUGGCUUUAACUCCAGGGAUGGAGGAGGUGGAGGCUGUAGCAGCAGUUUUGGCUUUAACUCCAGGGGUGGAGGAGGUGGAGGCUGUAGCAGCAGUGCAUUUAACUCCAGGGGUGGAGGAGGUGGAGGCUGUAGCAGCAGUUUUGCCUUUAACUCCAGGGAUGAAGGAGGUGGAGGCUUUAGCAGCAAAGCCUUUAACUCCAGGGGUGGAGGAGGUGGAGGCUGUAGCAGCAGUUUUGCCUUUAACUCCAGGGAUGGAGGAGGUGGAGGCUGUAGCAGCAGUUUUGCCUUUAACUCCAGGGAUGGAGGAGGUGGAGGCUUUAGCAGCA